AGGCGAAGCUCACUGUGUGCGUAGACACCAGUGCAUAAGCAGCAGCAAUAGAGCAACAGCUCAUCAUGAGUCUCACCAAAGCAGCUGUUCUUAUCUUCUCCACGACCAUGUUCUUGUCUGAGUGGCACUGUUCCGACGGCUACGUUUCCAUCGGACGGGUUCCUGUCGAAAAUGGUAAAUGUCAGUACAAUGGCACAGAGAUACCACCGGGUGAGCCUCUGAAGCUGGAGCAUCCUUGCGAAGAAUGGGACUGUGAUCCAUCUACCGGAGAACUCUCUAUAACAGGUUGCGGGCGUGUGGAACCGGGUCGCGGCUGCAUUUUAAUCAAAGGCAGGGGAGUUUAUCCGAAGUGCUGCGGCCAGGUAGCCUGCUACUAGAGGUCUUCGACGGCUUCGAGUUUCACACUGUGCUCGACGCCUUCAAGCGCCAUGGUGACGGGAGAUAACUGCUGUGGGAAUAUCACAUGCACGGUGGUUUAACGUUUACAAUCAUGCACAAAUCUUCACUGCUGAGUUGAGAUAUGUAAAAACCCCUUCAAGACCUUAUAGCUUCCGGCAAUCACCUCCAAAAUUACAUAAGAAAGAACUUUAGCCAUGAUUUAGAUGCUUCAAUUAAGGGUGUUGUUACUUCUAUACAGCACUGUUAUUCUCUAUGAAAGAAAGAUAAAAUAUAUGCUUUAUCACUGUGGCUCAGUAGUCCUGAUUCGUAGAAACAUUUGCACGCCUUCAGGGUUGCGAAACGUGAGCUUGUUCCACUACGGACAAAAGACUGGACUACGGGUUCCAAUAUCUUACAUAGCUGUGGUUUUCAGCACAUUCCAAGGCAUACAGUAUUUUGCAGUGCAUCUUUUUUGGCUCUCUAGGGACUGCUGUUCGAUGAAGGAGGCAUUAUGAGGUUAAGAAUGCUCCCGUAUUUUUAGAGUGGGCCAGGAUUCUUUCAAUUAGUUAAGUUAGAAGCGUAAUGCCUUUGUGCAUUUUGGUUUCCUCUUUGUGACUUCUGAACACAUUUUACAUCGAAUAUGAAUAGCCAUAUCGAGCUCUUUGCACAAGAGCUUUUUCGCUUACAAAUGGUCAUUUUGUGUGUUAGUAAA